AGCGAACGCUGGCGGCAGGCCUAACACAUGCAAGUCGAACGAACUCUUCGGAGUUAGUGGCGGACGGGUGAGCAACACGUGGGAACGUGCCUUUAGGUUCGGAAUAACUCAGGGAAACUUGUGCUAAUAACGAAUGUGCCCUGCGGGGGAAAGAUUUAUCGCCUUUAGAGCGUGCCGCGUCUGAUUAGCUAGUUGGUGAGGUAAAGGCUCACCAAGGCGACGAUCAGUAGCUGGUCUGAGAGGAUGAUCGGCCACAUUGGGACUGAGACACGGCCCAAACUCCUACGGGAGGCAGCAGUGGGGAAGCUUGCGCAAUGGGCGAAAGCCUAACGCAGCCAUGCCGCGUGAAUGAUGAAGGUCUUAGGAUUGUAAAAUUCUUUCACCGGGGACGAUAAUGACGGUACCCGGAGAAGAAGCCCCGGCUAACUUCGUGCCAGCCGCCGCGGUAA
rnacentral:rRNA from 1 species